GGGCCCGUAGCUCAGUCUGGUAGAGCACCGCCCUUUUAAGGCGGGUGUCGAUGGUUCGAAUCCAUCCGGGCUCA
rfam:Omnitrophica bacterium RIFCSPLOWO2_01_FTLL_50_24 rifcsplowo2_01_scaffold_3873, whole genome shotgun sequence.